GCUCAACCGGGGAGGGUCAUUGGAAACUGGGGAACUUGAGUGCAGAAGAGGAGAGUGGAAUUCCACGUGUAGCGGUGAAAUGCGUAGAGAUGUGGAGGAACACCAGUGGCGAAGGUGACUCUCUGGUCUGUAACUGACGCUGAGGCGCGAAAGCGUGGGGAGCGAACAGGAUUAGAUACCCUGGUAGUCCACGCCGCAAACGAUGAGUGCUAAGUGUUAGAGGGUUUCCGCCCUUUAGUGCUGCAGCAAACGCAUUAAGCACUCCGCCUGGGGAGUACGGUCGCAAGACUGAAACUCAAAGGAAUUGACGGGGGCCCGCACAAGCGGUGGAGCAUGUGGUUUAAUUCGAAGCAACGCGAAGAACCUUACCAGGUCUUGACAUCCUCUGACAACCCUAGAGAUAGGGCUUCCCCUUCGGGGGCAGAGUGACAGGUGGUGCAUGGUUGUCGUCAGCUCGUGUCGUGAGAUGUUGGGUUAAGUCCCGCAACGAGCGCAACCCUUGAUCUUAGUUGCCAGCAUUCAGUUGGGCACUCUAAGGUGACUGCCGGUGACAAACCGGAGGAAGGUGGGGAUGACGUCGAAUCAUCAUGCCCCUUAUGACCUGGGCUACACACGUGCUACAAUGGGCAGAACAAAG
rnacentral:rRNA from 1 species